AAGGCGAGGCUGAAAAGCGUAGUCGAUGGAAAACAGGUUAAUAUUCCUGUACUUCCAGUUAUUGCGAUGGAGGGACGGAGAAGGUUAGGCCAGCCUGGCGUUGGUUGUCCAGGUUUAAGGUGGUAGGCUGAAAUCUUAGGCAAAUCCGGGAUUUCAAGGCCGAGAGCUGAUGACGAGUUGCCUCUAGGCGACGAAGUGGUUGAUACCAUGCUUCCAAGAAAAGCUCCUAAGCUUCAGAUAACUGGGAACCGUACCCCAAACCGACACAGGUGGUUAGGUAGAGAAUACCAAGGCGCUUGAGAGAACUCGGGUGAAGGAACUAGGCAAAAU
rnacentral:rRNA from 1 species